UGAGUUUGAUCCUGGCUCAGAUUGAACGCUGGCGGCAUGCCUUACACAUGCAAGUCGAACGGCAGCACGGGUGCUUGCACCUGGUGGCGAGUGGCGAACGGGUGAGUAAUACAUCGGAACAUGUCCUGUAGUGGGGGAUAGCCCGGCGAAAGCCGGAUUAAUACCGCAUACGAUCUACGGAUGAAAGCGGGGGACCUUCGGGCCUCGCGCUAUAGGGUUGGCCGAUGGCUGAUUAGCUAGUUGGUGGGGUAAAGGCCUACCAAGGCGACGAUCAGUAGCUGGUCUGAGAGGACGACCAGCCACACUGGGACUGAGACACGGCCCAGACUCCUACGGGAGGCAGCAGUGGGGAAUUUUGGACAAUGGGCGAAAGCCUGAUCCAGCAAUGCCGCGUGUGUGAAGAAGGCCUUCGGGUUGUAAAGCACUUUUGUCCGGAAAGAAAUCCUUGGCUCUAAUACAGUCGGGGGAUGACGGUACCGGAAGAAUAAGCACCGGCUAACUACGUGCCAGCAGCCGCGGUAAUACGUAGGGUGCGAGCGUUAAUCGGAAUUACUGGGCGUAAAGCGUGCGCAGGCGGUUUGCUAAGACCGAUGUGAAAUCCCCGGGCUCAACCUGGGAACUGCAUUGGUGACUGGCAGGCUAGAGUAUGGCAGAGGGGGGUAGAAUUCCACGUGUAGCAGUGAAGUGCGUAGAGAUGUGGAGGAAUACCGAUGGCGAAGGCAGCCCCCCUGGGCCAAUACUGACGCUCAUGCACGAAAGCGUGGGGAGCAAACAGGAUUAGAUACCUUGGUAGUCCACGCCCUAAACGAUGUCAACUAGUUGUGGGGAUUCAUUUCCUUAGUAACGUAGCUAACGCGUGAAGUUGACCGCCUGGGGAGUACGGUCGCAAGAUUAAAACUCAAAGGAAUUGACGGGGACCCGCACAAGCGGUGGAUGAUGUGGAUUAAUUCGAUGCAACGCGAAAAACCUUACCUACCCUUGACAUGGUCGGAAUCCCGCUGAGAGGUGGAAGUGCUCGAAAGAGAACCGGCGCACAGGUGCUGCAUGGCUGUCGUCAGCUCGUGUCGUGAGAUGUUGGGUUAAGUCCCGCAACGAGCGCAACCCUUGUCCUUAGUUGCUACGCAAGAGCACUCUAAGGAGACUGCCGGUGACAAACCGGAGGAAGGUGGGGAUGACGUCAAGUCCUCAUGGCCCUUAUGGGUAGGGCUUCACACGUCAUACAAUGGUCGGAACAGAGGGUUGCCAACCCGCGAGGGGGAGCUAAUCCCAGAAAACCGAUCGUAGUCCGGAUUGCACUCUGCAACUCGAGUGCAUGAAGCUGGAAUCGCUAGUAAUCGCGGAUCAGCAUGCCGCGGUGAAUACGUUCCCGGGUCUUGUACUCACCGCCCGUCACACCAUGGGAGUGGGUUUUACCAGAAGUGGCUAGUCUAACCGCAAGGAGGACGGUCACCACGGUAGGAUUCAUGACUGGGGUGAAGUCGUAACAAGGUAA
rnacentral:rRNA from 1 species